GACGAACGCUGGCGGCGUGCUUAACACAUGCAAGUCGAACGGAAAGGCCCUUCGGGGUACUCGAGUGGCGAACGGGUGAGUAACACGUGGGUGAUCUGCCCUGCACUUUGGGAUAAGCCUGGGAAACUGGGUCUAAUACCGAAUAGGACCACGCGCUUCAUGGUGUGUGGUGGAAAGCUUUUGCGGUGUGGGAUGGGCACGCGGCCUAUCAGCUUGUUGGUGGGGUAAUGGCCUACCAAGGCGACGACGGGUAGCCGGCCUGAGAGGGUGACCGGCCACACUGGGACUGAGAUACGGCCCAGACUCCUACGGGAGGCAGCAGUGGGGAAUAUUGCACAAUGGGCGCAAGCCUGAUGCAGCGACGCCGCGUGAGGGAUGACGGCCUUCGGGUUGUAAACCUCUUUCAAUAGGGACGAAGCGCAAGUGACGGUACCUAUAGAAGAAGCACCGGCCAACUACGUG
rnacentral:rRNA from 1 species